rnacentral:rRNA from 1 species
UACGUAGGGGGCAAGCGUUGUCCGGAAUCAUUGGGCGUAAAGAGCGUGUAGGCGGCCCGAUAAGUCCGCUGUGAAAGUCCAGGGCUCAACCCUGGGAUGCCGGUGGAUACUGUCGGGCUCGAGUCCGGAAGAGGCGAGUGGAAUUCCCGGUGGUAGCGGUGAAAUUCGUAGAGAUUGGGAAGAACACCGGUGGCGAAGGCGGCCAACUGGACUGGUAUUGACGCUGAGGCGCGAAAGCGUGGGGAGCAAACAGG